CCCUUAGAUGUUCUGGGCCGCACGCGUGCUACACUGAGUGGAUCAGCGGGUCAGGUUGCGCGAAAGUGUUUCCUAAUCUUUAAAUCCGCUCGUGAUGGGGAUUGACGGUUGCAAUUUUCCGUCAUGAACGAGGAAUACCUUGUAAGCGCGGGUCAUCAUCCCGCGCUGAAUACGUCCCUGCCCUUUGUACACACCGCCCGUCGCUCCUACCGAUUGAGUGCUCCGGUGAGGCUUUGGGAUCUGAGCGGAAAGAGCGUUUCGCUGUUUCUGCCCGGAAAACUCAGUCGAACCUUAUCAUUUAGAGGAAGGAGAAGUCGUAACA
rnacentral:rRNA from 1 species